rnacentral:tRNA from 1 species
GUCCCUUUCGUCUAAAGGUUAGGACAUCACUCUUUCACGGUGAAAAUAUGAGUUCGAUUCUCAUAAGGGAUA